AGCUGGGUGUGAGUCCGCGGAGCUGAGAGCCUUGCCCUCUGCUCCAUCCUCCUCUUUUGGGGGUCUCCGCGGUGUCAGGACUUGGAGAGCCUGGUCGUGGGACUUGAUCAGAGAGGCCUUGAGUGCAGUGGGUGCUUAUCUGGUGACUGUGGCCCUGAGGUCUGGGACAGACACUGCCAGUCUUUCUGGGCCACACCCACGGGGACUGCCAGCCCCCCUGGGCUUGGCACAGUGGAGGGGAGCCUCCACCACAGUGGAGGAGAGACACACCCAAGGCCCUGGAUGUGCCCGGCUCUCUGCAGCUGUGGGUGCCUCAGGCCGGCCGCCGAUGGGUCUCAGUUUCUGAGGGGGUGGCAGUGAAGUUGCAGAGAAGAAACCUAUGAAGGUGCCCUGUCAACUGCCACACGCCGAGAUGCACAUUGACAGCCCAUCACCGCCUCUUGCCUGUCCUCCCCGGGGACCGGCAGAUCAUGGGAGAUGAUUUGUCAAGGGGAGACACAUUUGGGUGACACCAAGCCGAGCUUCCUGUCUUGAGACGCUUUCUGCUUUCUCAUCUUCCUGCUAAUGAGUUGCCUUUUGUGUGUAUCCCACUUCCUGUCCCACCCAGCCCCAAAUGUCCGUGGAACCGGCCCCACUAACCUGCAUCCAGCUGCCUCUUCCACCUGGGCCCUGCUCUCAGAUGGAAGUGUCACCAAACACCCAGAUCGCCGUGCUCCUGCUUCUCUGGGUUCAAUGAGACCCUCCACCCAGAUGAGCAUGAGCCCAGCCAGGGUGGGCUGUUCAGUUUCUUCCCUGGGAAUCUGGAGCUGGAUUGAGCUGGUCUGCAGAGUGGACACAACCUGAAAACCAACUGGACUGAGCAUCCUUCUCCUAAAAUCUCAGCCAGAAGCCACGAUGGAGGGUCCUGGGAAGGGAAGAGAUGUGAAGAUUUCUGUGAUUCUAAAACCUUGGGUCUGCCUGCAAACUUCUCUCUGAUCCCAGCCGAGAGCUGUGCACACGCUAGCUAGCCCUGUCACACAAUAGCCCAGUGUUCCCGUCACAGUGCCUGGGAAUGAGAGGCUUUUGAGGCCACAGAGCUAUGACAAGUCCCCAGGUUGAAUUGACUCUGGGAGGACAAAUUUCUGAGAGACUCACGGGACCCUUAUCCAGGACAACCUCACAAAGAUCCCUGAAACUGAGCUUCCUCUGCUUCGUGCAUAGUUUGAGGUAUAAACUUUCCUUGUGUCUCGGUCAGAUGAAGUGAAGGAUGAAUAUUAUCCCAGGCUAAAGUAACGAAAAGUCCAGAAGCCAGCGAUGACAGAGAUGUGUGUGGAAGAAGGCUGUGAGCAUUUCCAUCAAACCCUGUGAGUUUCCGAAGAUCUUAUCCCGAAGAUAUGUGUUUGGCCAAUAAAACACUGAAUAAAAAUCCA
rnacentral:lncRNA from 1 species